rnacentral:rRNA from 1 species
GACGAACGCUGGCGGCGUGCCUAAUACAUGCAAGUCGAGCGAAGUUUUUCUGGUGCUUGCCCUAGAAAAACUUAGCGGCGAACGGGUGAGUAACACGUAAAGAACCUGCCUCAUAGACUGGGACAACUAUUGGAAACGAUAGCUAAUACCGGAUAACAGUAUUUCUCGCAUGAGGGAUAUUUAAAAGUUGGUUAUGCUAACACUAUGAGAUGGCUUUGCGGUGCAUUAGCUAGUUGGUGGGGUAAAGGCCCACCAAGGCGACGAUGCAUAGCCGACCUGAGAGGGUGAUCGGCCACACUGGGACUGAGACACGGCCCAGACUCCUACGGGAGGCAGCAGUAGGGAAUCUUCCGCAAUGGGCGAAAGCCUGACGGAGCAACGCCGCGUGAGUGAAGAAGGAUUUCGGUUCGUAAAGCUCUGUUGUUAGGGAAGAAUGGAUAUGUAGUAACUAUACAUGUAAGAGACGGUACCUAACCAGAAAGCCACGGCUAACUACGUG